CCUACGGGGGGCAGCAGUGGGGAAUAUUGCGCAAUGGGGGCAACCCUGACGCAGCAACGCCGCGUGAGUGAUGAAGGCCUUCGGGUUGUAAAGCUCUUUCGGUUGGGAAGAAGGGAGAUUAGGCGAAGAGUCUAAUAUUUUGAUGGUACCAAAAGAAGAAGCACCGGCAAACUUCGUGCCAGCAGCCGCGGUAAUACGAAGGGUGCGAGCGUUGUUCGGAAUUACUGGGCGUAAAGGGUUCGUAGGCGGGCAUGCAAGUCAAGUGUGAAAUCCCUGGGCUUAACCUGGGACGUGCAUUUGAGACUGUGUGUCUUGAGUGUUGGAGAGGGUGGUGGAAUUGCUGGUGUAGGAGUGACAUCCGUAGAGAUCAGCAGGAACACCGGAGGCGAAGGCGACCACCUGGCCGAAUACUGACGCUGAGGAACGAAAGCGUGGGGAGCAAACAGGAUUAGAUACCCGUGUAGUC
rnacentral:rRNA from 1 species